AUAUAUACUGCUCAUAAAAAGUAGUGGAUAUUGUAGUUAAACAGAGCGGCAAAAACACAGGAAUGUAGAUUUCUCCGAGUACUUUAGGUAUGUUUGAGGAUAACCAUUGGCCCACCUUAGCAUGUUGCACACUAACCACCAGGUGUCCUGAGAUCCGAAAACACUGGACCCAAACGCACCUGGGGGUGGGUAUGAAAAAGCACACCAUGUUUCACACGUGCAAAUGAUAAGACAAGGUUCACCUUGGACUUCAAUGACGGCCGUCAUCGUGUCUGGCGACGCCCUUGUGAACGCCACUAGCCAGCUGCCAUGAUUCCA